UGCCUUUGCUUUUUCCUGAGCCUUGGUUGCUGCUUCCCAGCCCUGCACUCCAGCCAUGUGGGCGCACUCUGCUCCCUGAACACAAGUGCCCCAGCUUUCCUCAGGCUCCAGUAUUUCUGCCUUUCGCUUAUUAUCUGGUUGAGCUGGUGGCGGGAGUCCCGGCCCAUGUGUGUUACCAGAGGGAUGGUCUAGAGGAUGAAUCCAUCUGUCAGAGGCAUCCAAGAAGAAAGGCCUGGGCCAGGAUCACAUGGAAGACCCUGAAGACAGGAUCGGGUCUUGCCUGCCUGGAUUGAACAGGGACGCAGUGACCAGUCCCAUCUGCUCCCACCCUGCUGCCCUCUGAAUCGAGCGUUUGAGGCCAUGACCAGGGUAACGUUCAGCUGGUAGAGACAACACAACCCUGCUGGCUGUUUAAGCCAUGCUGGAAUGGUGCUCACAGGGUAACAAUUUUCAAGUGCUACGGAUGCAAUAGCUCAGCGACUGGCAGCGCAGCACGUACCUGCUGUCGUGGGAGGUGAGAGCCGCCAGUGCCCGACAGCAGCUGCAAGGCAGUGGUGGCACUCUGCAGCCAGCCGGCCCACCCCUCCAGCAUCUGCAAGGGAGAGGGAGGCUGCCUCACCAAGCUACCUGCUACUCAUGGGGGCGAUGGGCAUCAGGGUGGCCUGCCUGGAGCGGCAGAUAUCUCCAGUAACUGGGCUGGCAUGUCCAUGCCCUGCGCUGCUCUCUUCUCUCAUCUUCCCUUUGCAACCAAGGCUGAUUCCCACAGUCAGUCUCUCCCCCAGAGAACA